CCGGAAGGUGCGGCUGGAUCACCUCCUUUCUAAGGAGCAUUCUCCAAUCCAAUGUCCACACAGGUGGAUGGUUGGUUGGCAGAGCCUGUUUCGGAUCCACUUGUGGUCCGGCAGGAGCUCAUGGGUGGACGCUGACAAACUUGAUCGUCGUACGGUUUCUCCUCUGUGGGAGGCCGACGAACAAUAUAUCGACAUACUGUUGGGUCCUGAGAGAACACGCGAGUGUUUCCUCUCUAGGAAGUAACGACAACACUGGAAUGUGGGUCAUACCGCGAAUAGGUAACUGAGGUGACUUGGUUGGUGUUCGGCUGGUGCUCACGGGAGUUCUGGGGUUGUGUGUUGUUUGAGAACUGCACAGUGGACGCGAGCAUCUUUGUUGUAAGUAAUGAAGAGCGUAC
rnacentral:misc_RNA from 1 species